AGAGAGAGACAUGCGCGCAUAUCAAUAAGCGGAGGAAAAGAAACUAACAAGGAUUCCCUUAGUAACGGCGAGUGAAGCGGGAAGAGCUCAAAUUUGAAAUCUUCAAGGUUCUACCUUGACGAAUUGUAGUUUAAAGAAGUGUUUUCUGCUGGAGUUUUGGUAAAAGUUCUUUGGAAUAGGACAUCAUAGAGGGUGAGAAUCCCGUAUUUGACCAUUAUUUCCAGCUUUGUGAUACACUUUCAAAGAGUCGGAUUGUUUGGGGAAUGCAGUCCAAAAUGGGUGGUAAAUUUCAUCUAAAGCUAAAUAUUGGCGAGAGACCGAUAGCGAACAAGUACCGUGAGGGAAAGAUGAAAAGAACUUUGAAAAGAGAGUUAAACAGUACGUGAAAUUGUCAAAAGGGAAGCGUUUGACACCAGUGUUGUUUUCUCGAAAAUCAAUUAAAAAUGGCUCGAUUUUGUAUUGUUGAGACCUUAAAAGCUCACUGUACAUUUUUCGUGUCUUUUUUAAUGCACUUUUCGUUUAACAAGUCAACAUCAGUUUCUUUUGUUGUAAAAGGGUCAUUGGAAGGUGGCUUUCUUUUCGGAGAAAGUGUUUAUAGCCUUUGGCCUCUGCAAUCGGAGAGACUGAGGUCUGCAGCGUAGACUCUUCGGGGUUAGAUACAUUUGUGCUAAGUUAUAGCUUUUUAUAGACAACUUGUUGACUAUAAUUAGUCUUGUAGCUUACUCGCUUAUGCUAUUUUACCUACGCUUAGGAUGUUGAAGUCAUCGUAUCGCGC
rnacentral:rRNA from 1 species